CAGAACUGAUUGACAAUUGAAAGAUUGAGGCACAGAUAAAUGUCUAAAUUCCCCAAUAUUCUUUAUUACGAAUAAGUCCUUGAAUACCACAAAGCAAACGUAUCUCUAGUAUCACCGACAGAGAUCUAUCAACACCGACGGUAGUGGCCCUCACUCGCUCUCUCAGUUUCUUUUGAAAUUAGAACACCCAUAUGGAGACUUGUCCCCAAAGUGUCUGGAUUUGCCAUAUCUUUAUCGAGCCACUGUCCCACGCUGUUCUUCUGGUUUAUCAAGCGUUUCGGUAGGGUAUCUGAUGCUGGGCAGUGGGCUAUGGUUCAGAUUUAAGAAAGAAAGACCAGUCUCCGGGCCAUCAACCAGUUAAGGUCGUGCUUAAGAUUUGAGUUUGGGGUUUCAUAUAUGUCUCAGU